rnacentral:rRNA from 1 species
GUAGGUGGCAAGCGUUGUCCGGAAUUAUCGGGCGUAAAGCGCGCGCAGGCGGUUCUUUAAGUCUGAUGUGAAAGCCCACGGCUCAACCGUGGAGGGUCAUUGGAAACUGGAGAACUUGAGUACAGAAGAGGAAAGCGGAAUUCCACGUGUAGCGGUGAAAUGCGUAGAGAUGUGGAGGAACACCAGUGGCGAAGGCGGCUUUCUGGUCUGUAACUGACGCUGAGGCGCGAAAGCGUGGGGGAGCAAACAGGAUUAGAUACCCUGGUAGUCCACGCCGUAAACGAUGAGUGCUAAGUGUUAGGGGGUUUCCGCCCCUUAGUGCUGCAGCUAACGCAUUAAGCACUCCGCCUGGGAGUACGGCCGCAAGGCUG